GAUGAACGCUGGCGGCGUGCCUAAUACAUGCAAGUCGAGCGAAAAGACGAGGAGCUUGGUCGACUGACGUUAGAGGCGGACGGGAGAGUAACAAGUGGAUAACCUCCCUAUAAGAAUGGGAUAACUUGGGGAAACCGGAGCUCAUACCGGAUAAUAUAUUGAACCGCAUGGUUCAAUAGUGAAAGCCGGCUUUGCUGUCACUUAUAGAUGGAGCGGUGCCGCAUUAGCUAGUUGGUAAGGUAACGGCUUACCAAGGCAACGAUGAGUAGCCGGCCUGAGAGGGUGAUCAGCCACACUGGAACUGAGACACGGUCCAGACUCCUACGGGAGGCAGCAGUAGGGAAUCUUCCGCAAUGGGCGAAAGCCUGACGGAGCAACGCCGCGUGAGUGAUGAAGGUCUUCGGGUCGUAAACCUCUGUUAUUCGGGAAGAACAAAUGUGUAAGUAACUAUGCACGUCUUGACGGUACCGAAUCAGAAAGCCCCGGCUAACUACGUG
rnacentral:rRNA from 1 species